GUGUGUGUGUGUGUGUGUGUUGAGUCUGAGUCUUAUUUAGUCUUAUUUCUGGGAGCAUGGGGCUAGGAGGAAGAAUCAAGGUUUAACUUCUCCAUGUGUCUGUAACCUAGACUGGGUUAAUCAGGUGAGAAGAUCUCACCCUAACCUGCCAGAUUAAGGACAAAGCCAGCUGAAUGCUAACUGUGUUUUCUGGUUGCUGACACAAUAUAACCAGCUACUUGAAGAUCCUAUGUUGGGACUUUCUGUCAUGACUGACCUAUACCCUGGUGCUGAGUCAAAAUCAUCCUGUCCUUCCCUAAGGUGGUCAGCUAUUUUGUCAUAGCAACAUAAGUAGUCUUCAGUGCUUCUGCUGGUUUAGCUCAGCUUUCUCUGACAUGGUGGACAUUUGCCAUUUCCAGCCUGAAUAUCGCCUUGGCUCCUUUCCCAACCUCCCAAGUGUCUGCAGCAUGGACACACCACUCAAUUCCCUCAUCCCUGCUCUUUGGG
rnacentral:lncRNA from 1 species